rnacentral:tRNA from 1 species
GUUUUAAUAAUUUAAUAAAAAUAUUGAUUUUGUAAAUCAAAUAUAGGUGGGUUUAACCUUUAAAAUU